GGGGGGGGGGGGGGGGGGGGGGGGGGGGGGCGGGGCGGGCGGGGGGGGGGGGCGUGGGGGGGGGGCUCGGGGGGCGAGCGGGUGGGUGGCACGGGAGUGACCUGCCCGUGACUUGGGGACAUCCGCAGGCAGCCGGGGCUACCACCGGCUCGGCGCUGCUGCUGCAUGGUGGGCGUUGGUGAGUUGCGGCGGGUGGGGGGGGACUCGCGGCUUAUCAGCUUGUUGGUGGGGUAGUGGCUUACCAAGGCUUUGACGGGUAGCCGGCCUGAGGGGUUGACCGGCGACAUUGGGACUGAGAGACGGACCAGACUCCUACGGGAGGCAGCAGUGGGGAAUAUUGCACAAUGGGCGGAAGCCUGAUGCAGCAACGCCGCGUGCGGGAUGACGGCCUUCGGGUUGUAAACCGCUUUCGCCUGUGACGAAGCGUGAGUGACGGUAAUGGGUAAAGAAGCACCGGCUAACUACGUG
rnacentral:rRNA from 1 species